rnacentral:lncRNA from 1 species
GAGGCUGAGUUUAGUCUGUAAAAAUCAGCUCGACGUUUUUUAAACCUUUAUUGGGUGAUUAGGGUGUGUUUUAAUGUUCACUUUGGUUUCUUCAUAUGAGUGUUUUUUUUUUUUUCAUUUUCUACGCUGUGUGCCCGUUACAAAAGCAAGAUAUCAGCGUGUUUUCUUGUGGCCAUCAGCAGCGGGAGGUUUUCAACGUGUGAUCUUCACAAAAGCGACGGUGUCGUAGCGUUUACGUUGGGCCUUCAGCAUCUCAGAAGACGUUACCUCGCCGCAGUCGGACUGCUUUUGGAUUUACGUGGCUCUGUGGGAUGCGGUAUGAAGAUCGUUGCAUUCAAGUUUGCCGCCUCUACUUAACUGUGCAGGGUCUGACUGUAGUCAGAUCUGUAUGACAGAUGUUACACUCGUUUUCUGCGGGAGAAGGACAACAACCCGUGUGGGUUCCCUCCCAGCAACUGAGAUUGCAUUAUAACUCCAAGGAUGGUAGAACUCUCAGAAACAAAAGGCAAAGAACCGUCAGAAAGCAAAGAGCAAGGUUUGUCACCUGACACAUAAACUCCAUGACCUCGACAUUACAACAAAAUAUCGCCAUGUGACCUACAACACCAGUCAUUCUACUCUACCAACAUGGGGCCAGAUAAAAGUCUUAUCACAUCAAACAGAGAAAUUACUACAAGAAGAAGGAAUUCCAAAAAUGACGGGUAAUAUAAUUCUGGCUGCCUUUAUGGUGGUCAGUGCAGUGUCUGUCUCCUGGAUAGACUCCUCAGUGGAAGUUUACACUAAUAAUAGUGCAUUCACACCGGUCCCCAAUGAUGACAGGUUUCCAGCCCAACCAGAAGAAGAAGUCUGCAGAUGUCUCCAAAGAGUCCGAGGACAAGUCCAAAAUCAACGACAAGCAAUGAUGGCAGUGACGAUCCUAGUCAAUAAAAAGGGGGAAGAUGUGGGUGGUAAGCCACCCAGGUGCCGAGGCAAGAGACCGAAGGAAAAACCAGCCAUACAGAGACAGGAGCUGAAGGGACACGGUGAGAAGUGACCAGAAGUCAAGAGUGUGAGCCCUCUGUCAUGCAUGGACAGGGUUACUAGAUGGCUCCUUGGUCUAGCGGUAACGCCAGUGCCUGGGAAGGCACCCAUUACUUAGUGGACCGGGAAAGGGAAUCUCCCUUUCCCCUGGGGAGAGAAGACUCUGCUCCACUACCUCUUGUGCAAGGCCUGACAUGAGUCAGGCCCGCCCACAGCCAUCUGAAGGCCUAAACGUCUCCCUGUGAUGCUAUGCUUCAGCGGUCACACUCCUGGUGUACUUUCAUGUUCUGCUCUGCGCACCUGGCCCCGCAUUCUAGAUAGCAGUAGCAGAAUUAGUGAAAAUACUAAAGUCUUUGAUCUUUCCAAGAAAUACAUAGAAGAAAUAAUGACGUAAGCUGUCCCCUCUCUCUCUCUCCACCUUGGUUACCAAAUAGGGAAGGGCCCCCUGUCCCGUGGACAUGUGACUCGCGUGACCUUACCUAUCAUUGGAGAUGACUCACACUACUUACCCUGCCGCCUUGCCUUGUAUACAAUAAAUAACAGCGCAGCCAGGCAUUCGAGGCCACUACCAGUCUCCGCAUCUUGGUGGUAGUGGUUCCCCGGGCCCAGCUGUCUUUUCUUCUC